rnacentral:rRNA from 1 species
UCUUUAUAGCUUGCUAUAAAGGAUAAUUAGUGGCAGACGGGUGAGUAAUGCAUAGGAAUCUACCUAGUAGUAUGGGAUAGCCACUAGAAAUGGUGGGUAAUACUGUAUAAUCCCUGCGGGGGAAAGAUUUAUCGCUAUUAGAUGAGCCUAUGUUAGAUUAGCUAGUUGGUAGGGUAAAGGCCUACCAAGGCGAUGAUCUAUAGCUGGUCUGAGAGGAUGAUCAGCCACACUGGAACUGAGAUACGGUCCAGACUCCUACGGGAGGCAGCAGUGGGGAAUAUUGGACAAUGGGCGCAAGCCUGAUCCAGCUAUGCCGCGUGAGUGAGGAAGGCCUUAGGGUUGUAAAACUCUUUCAGUAGGGAAGAUAAUGACGGUACCUACAGAAGAAGUCCCGGCAAACUCCGUGCCAGCAGCCGCGGUAAUACGGAGGGGGCAAGCGUUGUUCGGAAUUAUUGGGCGUAAAGGGCAUGUAGGCGGUUCGGUAAGUUAAAGGUGAAAUGCCAGGGCUUAACCCUGGAGCUGCUUU